CCCAGACUCCUACGGGAGGCAGCAGUGGGGAAUAUUGCACAAUGGGGGAAACCCUGAUGCAGCGACGCCGCGUGAGCGAUGAAGUAUUUCGGUAUGUAAAGCUCUAUCAGCAGGGAAGAAGAUGACGGUACCUGACUAAGAAGCCCCGGCUAACUACGUGCCAGCAGCCGCGGUAAUACGUAGGGGGCAAGCGUUAUCCGGAUUCACUGGGUGUAAAGGGAGCGUAGACGGCGACGCAAGUCUGGAGUGAAAGCCCGGGGCCCAACCCCGGGACUGCUCUGGAAACUGCGUCGCUUGAGUGCGGGAGGGGCAGGCGGAAUUCCUGGUGUAGCGGUGAAAUGCGUAGAUAUCAGGAGGAACACCGGCGGCGAAGGCGGCCUGCUGGACCGUGACUGACGUUGAGGCUCGAGAGCGUGGGGAGCAAACAGGAUUAGAUACCCUGGUAA
rnacentral:rRNA from 1 species